rnacentral:rRNA from 1 species
CACAGAAGGUGCAAGCGUUAUUCAUCUGGAUUGGGCGUAAAGGGUACGUAGGCGGCUUUUAAAACUUUUUGUGAAAAGCUCAAAAAAAAAUUGAGAACAACAAUUUCAGAUGUUUAAGCUUGAGUUGUGCAUGAGUUGAGAGAAUUUUAUAAUAAAGGAUAAAAUCUAUAGAAAUAUAAAGGAAGACCAAAGGCGAAAGGACUUUUCGGGGUACAACUGACGCUGAGGUACGAAAGCAUGGGGAGCAAACAGG